UGUGACGAUGAGGAGUUGCACUUGGAGUUGGGUCACUGAUUGCAGUGGCACAGUUGAACCCAUCCUGCUGAAUGGUGGUGACACAAACUGUGCACAGGGGCCAUCUGAGUCACU
rnacentral:snoRNA from 1 species